CUCACGCCCCAAUAAAAAAAAAAAAAAAGAGGCGUACCCAACGCAUCGAGCCCCCAAACCCUAGCAUUUUCAAGUUGAAGAUUGAUACAAUGCCGGAGUCAAGAGACAGAUUAUCGAGGCCUGACGACAUUACAGCAAUGUUUGCUCGUCGGCGGCAAUCGAUUGGAGGCAUAGCGAUCCUACUUGAUGAACCAGAAGAGGUGGGUUCUGGAACUCCGUUCCGGUGGGGAGCGACGGCGAUGACGGGUACGCGUGGAGCGAUGGGAUCGGCUGCUACACGAGGUGGUGGUGUCGGAAGGGGUAGUUUGGGAACUCCAAGAACUAGAAAUAGGCGUGGUGGUAGCCAGAGUUUGUAUAGAUCGCCGGUAGUGGUGGGUUGAGAGAACACGCCUUUGGGAACAGUUCGGCGAGGCUGAGGACGAGGAGGACGUGGUAGUGUGUGUCGUGCGGGUAACGAUUCUUUAAGUCUCCUGAUCUAUUGGCUGCCUUUGGUUAUGUUAUAUUCAUUUCUGUUUUGAUUUAUUUCCAUUAAUGUUGUCAUUUUGGUGUUUUUAGUUUGAUAAUGUGUAGGGUUGCGAUGAAAUUCGGUUAAGUUUAACUCAUUUUUUGUUGGAUAUGAUUCAUCUGAGGUCAUUUAUUCUGUA